CCAAUAGCGUAUAUUAAAGUUGUUGCAGUUAAAAAGCUCGUAGUUGAACUUCAGGCCUGUCCAGAUGGUCCGCCUUAAUUGGUGUGUACUGUCCUUGGGUGGGUCCUACCUUCUGGCGAAGCGGCAUGGCCUUAGUUGGUUGUGUCGGGGAACCAGGACUUUUACUGUGAAAAAAUUAGAGUGUUCAAAGCAGGCAAAUAUGCUCGAAUACAUUAGCAUGGAAUAAUGGAAUAGGACGAUGGUUCUAUUUUGUUGGUUCUAGGACCGUUGUAAUGAUUAAUAGGGAUAGUUGGGGGCAUUAGUAUUCAAUUGUCAGAGGUGAAAUUCUUGGAUUUAUUGAAGACUAACUACUGCGAAAGCAUCUGCCAAGGAUGUUUUCAUUAAUCAAGAACGAAAGUUAGGGGAUCGAAGACGAUCAGAUACCGUCGUAGUCUUAACCAUAAACUAUGCCGACUAGGAAUCGGGCGAUGUUGACAAAAUGACUCGCUCGGCACCUCAUG
rnacentral:rRNA from 1 species